UACGGAGGGUGCGAGCGUUGUCCGGAAUCAUUGGGCGUAAAGGGCGCGUAGGUGGCGGGACAAGCGUGCGGUGAAAGCCUGGGGCUCAACCCCGGGUCGGCCGUGCGAACUGUUUUGCUUGAGCACUGUAGAGGCAGGCGGAAUUCCGGGUGUAGCGGUGGAAUGCGUAGAGAUCCGGAAGAACACCGGUGGCGAAGGCGGCCUGCUGGGCAGUAGCUGACACUGAGGCGCGACGAGCGUGGGGAGCAAACAGG
rnacentral:rRNA from 1 species